rnacentral:lncRNA from 1 species
UCAGUCAACACCAGUAAUGGGAAUGUACUCCAGUUGGAAGCAAGAACAAAUUUCCAAGAACUUGGAAGGACAGAAUUUUUCUACAUUUGAAAGACUGCUGAUGUGAUCCAUUUGCAAGAAAGGUAUGGAGUACAUGGGUGGCUGGAUUCUCAUCUGAAAGCUUCAGUCCAUGUAACUCUUCCUUACUCUUCAGUGAAAUUAGACCCCAUUUCCACACCUUGUGGAACCCAAGGAACCUGCGGGAUGCUGGGAGAGCCUUUGACCAGGAAGAUUUCCCCAUCUCUCCCCAAUGUCUUCCAGGCAAACGAGAAAGGAGCUUAAUUCAUUUGAAGAAGCACCAAGUGUUUAAGGGAAAGCUGAAUGUUUUUCCAUCUUCUCUUGGAAGACUGAAAUUCCCAACUCUCCUACCCACUGAAUGAGGCACACUGCUCUACCAUGGCCCUGCAGAGG